AUCGUUAUCUCGGCGCAAAGCACUGACUCUGACUCUGACACGAUUUCGAUUUCGAUUUCUAUAUGCAUCAAUUAAGUGGCACUGGUAGAUCUGGUCUGGUCCUCGUCCCCAUUUCGGAUUCCAAUGCGAGAGCUGCAUUAUCAGUGGAAGCCGCCUUAGUGAGUGGCGACAGUACUUCAGAAUGGUUCUCAAUUAAUUCAAUUCCAGCUGAAAGUCUAAUUCCCUCAUUGGGGUCAAUUCUUGUGGCUCCAGUUGACUUCUCUUGCUUGUAAAUCCACUAUUCUAUGGGCGAGUGAUAAGUUCCCAAGAGCAGACGCUUCUUUCUUAUCAACAAGAGGAUGAAUUCUCCGCUGAAAUGAUUCUAUCAAGAAUCACUCAGAAAAGCGAACAAAGGCCCGACCUUUGGGCAGUGCAUUAAAUUAAAUAAUAAACCAACUCCCCGCCACUUACACUUUACAGUGCCGCAAAUCAGGGCAAUUUACGAGCUCCCCAAUUGCUGGGGACAUCCUGUGGCGGGCACGUGUGGGUGGCGGGAAAGGACCAAGGCUACUGCCAAGUCUAUUGACAAGGACAAGGACGAAAAUACCAAUGGCAAGGAUACGUCAACGACGCCCACGCAUACAUACACACACACUCGCUUAUAGAGUGAGAGAGAGAGAG